rnacentral:rRNA from 1 species
AAUAGAUACCCCGGUAGUCCAUGCCGUAAACGUUGGGCACUAGGUGUGGGGGACAUUCCACGUUUUCCGCGCCGUAGCUAACGCAUUAAGUGCCCCGCCUGGGGAGUACGGCCGCAAGGCUAAAACUCAAAGGAAUUGACGGGGGCCCGCACAAGCGGCGGAGCAUGCGGAUUAAUUCGAUGCAACGCGAAGAACCUUACCAAGGCUUGACAUGAGCCGGAAAGAUCUGGAAACAGGUCCCCCACUUGUGGUCGGUUUACAGGUGGUGCAUGGUUGUCGUCAGCUCGUGUCGUGAGAUGUUGGGUUAAGUCCCGCAACGAGCGCAACCCUCGUUCUAUGUUGCCAGCACGUGAUGGUGGGGACUCAUAGGAGACUGCCGGGGUCAACUCGGAGGAAGGUGGGGACGACGUCAAAUCAUCAUGCCCCUUAUGUCUUGGGCCUCACGCAUGCUACAAUGGCCGGUACAAAGGGUUGCGAUACUGUGAGGUGGAGCUAAUCCCAAAAAGCCGUCUCAGUUCGGAUUGGGGUCUGCAACUCGACCC